rnacentral:lncRNA from 1 species
GAGUAAUACAAAUAACUGGUGGAGAUAAUUGGUUUGUUUAUUUGACCCACACUCGAUUUCCAAGUUGAAGUAAUUCAGUGUCAACUCAGAUAGACCUGGGAGGUUUAGUCCAACUCAGGUUCAGAUGCCAUUCUAGUUCCCAGAAUUAAGGGAAUAGAAUUAGCAUCUAACCAAAAUAAAUUACUGAUGGUUACAAUAUUUUCUUAUUCUGUGUUAUGGAAUUUCCAUCCUCUGACUUCUUUGGGACAUCUAUGCCCCUGGUAUUCCCAGGUCUCUAGCCUCUGGCUCCAUGUCUAAGCCCAACUUUGCUUUCUAGGACUGUGGACUGAAC